rnacentral:rRNA from 1 species
CUCUGCCCAGUUGGUCUUUGGUGCAGAUUGGGACAGAGCACACUAUGGCAAGCCAGAGGCACUGCGCUGGGGCAACCGCCAACAACCCUGGACUGAUUGCCCAAUAUUCAGCUCCCCAACUACAACCUCAGAUCAGACAUGACUACCAGCUGAAUUUAAGCUUAUUACCAAGCGGAGGAAAAUAAACUAACCAGGAUUCCCUCAGUUACGGUGAGUGAAGAGGUAAGUAUCAAAUCCCCAUCCGGCGGUGGGUGUGGAAAAUGUGGCAUACAGAAAACCGAUUUACCAGCAUCACUCAAUGGGCCCAAGUCCUUUUGAUCGAAGCUCACUCAAUGCACAGUGUUGGGCCGGUAGUGGGACUUAGCGAGCUUGGAUCAGGUCUUCUCAGAGUUGGGUUGCCUGGUAAUGCACUCUAAAAUGGGUUGUAAAUUCAAGCUAAGGCUAAAUUUGGGUGUGAAACAGAUAGCCAAUCGGUACUAUAAGGUGAAAAUGAAAAGAACUUUGAAGAGAAAGUUCAAGAGGGCGUGAAACCAUUGCGAGGUAAACGGGUUGGGUCCUUGCAGUUCACUCGGAGGAUUCAGCACGCCAGGCAUUUUGGUGCUCCCUUAAUGGCAGAUCCCCUCCUGGGACCACUGCCUGGGUGCACAUGGCCCCUGCAGUGUGCAUUUCCUCCAUGGAUGUGCCCACAACUGGCUCUGAGUUGUCUCGGACGGCCCCGGGAGCAGCUUGCAGAGAGUGUUACAUCCCACUGGCUGCAGUUUUGCUGUUUAUAUGGGGGUGAGAGAGAUUGACUGAUACUGUACUCUCCUCUGGAAACUGUCCUGGCCCCUCUCAGGGGUCACAGAGUCAGCAAUGGAGGAUGGGGAACCCUGCUCCCAGUGCGACUGUCAACUGGGGUGGUCUGUGUUCAAUAUGCCACUGUCACGACACUCCACCAGGCGGCGAGUCCCACAAAGGGCAUCAGUGAUCUCAAGUGAUGCUGGUUACCAACCGACCCAGCUUGAAACAUGUAUCAAGGAGUAACAAGUACGUGAGUCAGGAGGGCGAAGAAAAUCCUAUAGCACAAUGAAGGUGAGGGCUGGCGCAGGCCAGCUGUGGUGCGAUCCUGUGGCAGAGUCACUGCCAGUGCACCACCGGCACGUCUCGUCUUCACUGUAGGGGAGGUGGAGCAUGAGCGUGUGUGAUAGGACCCGAAAGAUGGUGAACUAUGCCUGGGCAGGGCAAAGCAAUGGGAAAAUCUUGUGGAGUUCUGCAGCAGUCCCAAUAUGCAGAUCGGUCAUCCGACCUGGAUAUAGGGGCAAAAGACUGAUCAAACCAUCAAGUAGCUGUUCCGUCUGAAGUUUCCCUCAUGAUAUCUGAUGCUCAGAAAUACCUGUUUUAUCUAGUAAAGCAAAUGAUCAGAAGUCUUGGGGUCAAAAACAAGCUCAACAUAUUCUCAAACUUUAAAUCAGUAAGAAACAUGGCUCAAUGGUGUGGAGCUGGGUAUUGCAUGUGAGUGCCAGUGGUACACUUCUGGUAAGUAGAACUUGUGCUGCAGGAUGAACCGAAAGGCGGGUUGACAUGCCUGAUGCUGACGUUCAUCAGACCAGAGAAAAGGUCUUGGCUGAUAUAGACAGCAGGACAGUGGUCAUGGAAGUCAUAAUCUGCUAUGGAGUGCGUAACAACUCACUUUCUGAAUCAACAAGCACAGAAAAUGGAUGUGCUGGAGCGUCUGGCCCAUAUCUGACCAUCGCCAGCACUGAGAACCACUUUGUUGCACGUGGAAACCCGGGUGGAGGACCUGGGUGGUCUGCCAAAGGUGCAGAAACUUAAAGGAAUCGAUGAAAGGGCACAACAAGAAUUUGAGCGUGUGGCUUAAUUUGACUUAAUUUCACCUGGUCCUGUCAAGGAAGUGAUUGACAGAUUGGUAGCUCUUUGUUGAUUCUGUGGUGGUGGUGCAUGGCCUUCUUAGUUGGUGGAGUGAUUUGUCUGGUUAAUUCUCAUAACGCACGAGACUCCUCCAUGCUAACUAGAAACAUGGCCCAAGUGGUCAGCAUUCAACUUUUUAGAGUGACAAGUGUCGUUUAGCAACACGAGAUGAAGCAAUUCAUGGUCUGUGAUGCCCUUAGAUAUCUGUGCCUAUUUGCCUGCUACACUGGAUAGAAGAGCGUGUGUCUACCCUGCGCCGACAGGUAACCCUCUGAACACUGUUCAUGAUAGGGAUUUGGUAUUGAAAUGAUUUCCCAUGAAUGAGGAAUUUCCAUUAAGUGCGGGUCAUAAGCUUGCGUUGAUUAAGUUCAGAUGCAGAUGUUGGUGCUAGUGGCAAAUAUUCAAACAAGAACUUUGAAGGCCGAAGUGGAGAAGGGUUGCAUGUGACCAGUUAAACAUGGAUCAGUCGCUUUUAAGAGAUGGGUGAGUGCUGUUCACAUGGGAAGGGCAAUGGCCUCUGUUACUAUCCGUUGAUCGAAAGGAAGUCUGAUUUGGAUCUUUGAACCCAGAGUCGCGGAGUUGGGCGCUUUUGCAGUUUCCAGUCUGGUAAUGCAAACAAUCCAGGAGAAGCCAGUGGGAGCCCUGGGGAGAGUUUUGUUUUUGUGAAGGGUAGGGCACACUGGAAUGGGUUGUUUCCAAGAGAGUGGCUGAGCCUUUGAAAGCUUUGCGGUGUCGGCAGCAACUGGUGAGCUCUCUCAGUUCCUUGACAAUAUGGGGGUGAUGGUGUAAAUCACGCUUGAUAUCAAUUUUCAGCAUCUAUACAGACAAUGAAAGUGUGGCCUCAUGCUCCUCCUGGUAUUUUGGCUUUCAAGCAGGAGUUGUCAGAAAAGUUAGCACAGGGAUAACUGGCUUGUGGCAGCCAAGCAUUCAUAGUGACAUCGCAUUUUGAUCCGUUGAUGUCAGCUCUUCCAAUCAUUGUAAUGCAUAAUUCUCCAAGCGUUGGAUUGCUCACCCACUAGAGGUGAAAGUGAGCUGGGUUUAGACCGUUGUGAGAGAGAUUAGUUUUACCCUACUAAUGAUGUGUUGUUGAAAUAGGAAUCCUACUCAGUACCAGAAGAGCCACAGGUUCAGACAUUAGGCGUAUGUUCUUGGCCAAGGAGCCACAAUGGGGGUGAAGCUACCAUCUAUGGAUUGUGACUGAAUGCCUCUCAGUCAGUAUCCCCACUUAAACCAUAACGAUACUGCAGCGCUGUGGAGCUAGUGGUUGGCCUAGGAUAGCUGGCCUCUGGGCUGGUGCAUAGCACUGCUCGCCUAGGUACUCGAGUGUGGAAAGAAGGGGGCCACCUGUCUCACCAGUAGUACACUGUUUGUU